AUUGAACGCUGGCGGCAUGCCUUACACAUGCAAGUCGAACGGCGGCGCGGGGCAACCUGGCGGCGAGUGGCGAACGGGUGAGUAAUAUAUCGGAACGUACCCUGGAGUGGGGGAUAACGUAGCGAAAGUUACGCUAAUACCGCAUACGAUCUAAGGAUGAAAGCAGGGGACCGCAAGGCCUUGUGCUCCUGGAGCGGCCGAUAUCUGAUUAGCUAGUUGGUAGGUAAAGCCACCAAGGCAUCGAUCAGUAGCUGGUCUGAGAGGACGACCAGCCACACUGGAACUGAGACACGGUCCAGACUCCUACGGGAGGCAGCAGUGGGGAAUUUUGGACAAUGGGCGCAAGCCUGAUCCAGCAAUGCCGCGUGAGUGAAGAAGGCCU
rnacentral:rRNA from 1 species